AUUGAACGCUGGCGGCAGGCCUAACACAUGCAAGUCGGACGGUAGCACAGAGAGCUUGCUCUUGGGUGACGAGUGGCGGACGGGUGAGUAAUGUCUGGGGAUCUGCCCGAUAGAGGGGGAUAACCACUGGAAACGGUGGCUAAUACCGCAUAACGUCGCAAGACCAGAGAGGGGGACCUUCGGGCCUCUCACUAUCGGAUGAACCCAGAUGGGAUUAGCUAGUAGGCGGGGUAAUGGCCCACCUAGGCGACGAUCCCUAGCUGGUCUGAGAGGAUGACCAGCCACACUGGAACUGAGACACGGUCCAGACUCCUACGGGAGGCAGCAGUGGGGAAUAUUGCACAAUGGGCGCAAGCCUGAUGCAGCCAUGCCGCGUGUAUGAAGAAGGCCUUCGGGUUGUAAAGUACUUUCAGCGGGGAGGAAGGCGGUGAGGUUAAUAACCUCGCCGAUUGACGUUACCCGCAGAAGAAGCACCGGCUAACUCCGUGCCAGCCGCCGCUGUAA
rnacentral:rRNA from 1 species